ACCAGCGGAGGGAUCAUUAUCGAGUUUACAACUCCCAAACCCUUAUGUGAACAUACCUACUGUUGCUUCGGCGGACUCGCCCCGGCGUCCGGACGGCCUCGCGCCGCCCGCGGCCCGGACCCAGGCGGCCGCCGGAGACCCCCAAACUCUGUAUUAUCAGCAUUUUCUGAAUCCGCCGCAAGGCAAAACAAAUGAAUCAAAACUUUCAACAACGGAUCUCUUGGUUCUGGCAUCGAUGAAGAACGCAGCGAAAUGCGAUAAGUAAUGUGAAUUGCAGAAUUCAGUGAAUCAUCGAAUCUUUGAACGCACAUUGCGCCCGCCAGCAUUCUGGCGGGCAUGCCUGUUCGAGCGUCAUUUCAACCCUCGACUUCCCUUUGGGGAAAUCGGCGUUGGGGAACGGCAGCAUACCGCCGGCCCCGAAAUGAAGUGGCGGCCCGUCCGCGGCGACCUCUGCGUAGUAAUCCAACUCGCACCGGAACCCCGACGUGGCCACGCCGUAAAACACCCAACUUCUGAACGUUGACCUCGGAUCAGGUAGGAAUACCCGCUGAACUUAAGCAUAUCAAUAAGCGGAGGAAAAGAAACCAACAGGGAUUGCCCCAGUAACGGCGAGUGAAGCGGCAACAGCUCAAAUUUGAAAUCUGGCCCUUGGGUCCGAGUUGUAAUUUGUAGAGGAUGCUUUUGGCGAGGUGCCUUCCGAGUUCCCUGGAACGGGACGCCAUAGAGGGUGAGAGCCCCGUCUGGUCGGACACCGAGCCUCUGUAAAGCUCCUUCGACGAGUCGAGUAGUUUGGGAAUGCUGCUCAAAAUGGGAGGUAUAUGUCUUCUAAAGCUAAAUAUUGGCCAGAGACCGAUAGCGCACAAGUAGAGUGAUCGAAAGAUGAAAAGCACUUUGAAAAGAGGGUUAAAAAGUACGUGAAAUUGUUGAAAGGGAAGCGCCUAUGACCAGACUUGGGCCCGGUGAAUCAUCCAGCGUUCUCGCUGGUGCACUUUGCCGGGCACAGGCCAGCAUCAGUUUGGCGCGGGGGAAAAAGGCUUUGGGAAUGUGGCUCCCUCGGGAGUGUUAUAGCCCAUUGUGUAAUACCCUGCGCCGGACUGAGGUACGCGCAUGCAAGGAUGCUGGCGUAA
rnacentral:sRNA from 1 species